rnacentral:rRNA from 1 species
AGACGUAGGGGGCUAGCGUUGUUCGGAAUCACUGGGCGUAAAGCGCGCGUAGGUGGAUCAAUUAGUUGAGGGUGAAAUCCCGGGGCUCAACCUCGGAACUGCCUUCAAUACUGUUGAUCUUGAGACCGAGAGAGGUGAGUGGAAUUCCUAGUGUAGAGGUGAAAUUCGUAGAUAUUAGGAAGAACACCAGUGGCGAAGGCGGCUCACUGGCUCGGUACUGACGCUGAGGUGCGAAAGCGUGGGGAGCAAACAGGAUUAGAUACCCCAGUAGUCC